rnacentral:lncRNA from 1 species
GUCCAGGCUGAGGAACUAGAAUUUAUGAGUGGGUGCUUGUCGCUUGCUUGUUAAAGUAGGUCCGUGAUAUGAAGUAGGUCGCCCACAUCUGCCCUUUAGUCUAGUGAGCACCACCUCCAAUAGCUCGAUUGUGACUAGCUCGACGGUGAUGAAGAUCUUCGGACUGAGGCCGAGGUACAAGUCUACAAUAGAUGCCCCCACUCUCGAGAUCAAGCUACUGAUAGAUCGACCGACGAGAGUAUCUGAUUUGAGGUCGAAGCUGAGAUAAUCGAAUUGUUCAUUAGGACAUGCGUCAAGAAUUAAACGACUAAGGUGAACCAUCUUUAAAUCUAGAACAUAGGUUCCUCUAAUCCGUGGGAGCCACGUCCAUCCAAACCAGGUGAUACUUGUCGAAC